UUCUGAGUAAAAAAAGUUUGUUCAGGAGCACGACCUUGCCAACAGAUUACACGCCCAGAUUUGGCUCCUCAAGACGUAUGCAAUUCCUGCUGGCAUGUAUGCAAGUCAGAUCUGGGCUACCCCUUACCUACGACAAGGCAAAGAGAUGGACAAUCCCAUACAGAAGUGGCUAUUAACAGUGCUUAAAAGGACUUUGGGGGUCAGGGACACUACUCCCUCUUGGUGCAUCAUGCGAGGAUGUGGUUUGGAGCCCUUACAGUUCAACUGGUUCCGAGCAGCAAUGCGUCUUUGUAAUUCUCCGACCCGAUGCAACAGCUCGACAAUGAAAAAGAUUUUGCAGGCUGACAUGCGGCUGAGCUCAAG
rnacentral:lncRNA from 1 species